rnacentral:rRNA from 1 species
GAUGAACGCUGGCGGCGUGCCUAAUACAUGCAAGUCGAGCGAACAGACGAUGAGCUUGCUCCUCUGACGUUAGCGGCGGACGGGUGAGUAACACGUGGAUAACCUACCUAUAAGACUGGGAUAACUUCGGGAAACCGGCGCUAAUACCGGAUAAUCUAUUGAACCGUAUGGUUCAAUAGUGAAAGACGGUCUUGCUGUCACUUAUAGAUGGAUCCGCGCCGCAUUAGCUUGUUUGUAAGGUAACGACUUACCAAGGCAACGAUGCGUAGCCGACCUGUGAGGGUGUUCGGCCACACUGGAACUGAGACACGGACCAGACUACUAAGGGAGGCAGCAGUAGCGAAUCUUCCGCAAUGGGCGAAAGCCUGACGAAGCAACGCCACGUGAGUGGUGACAAUCUUCGGAUCGUAAUACUCUGUUAUUGGGGAAGAACAAAUGUGUAAGGAACUGUGCACGUCUUGACGGUACCUACUCAGAAAGCCACGGCUAACUACGUG